rnacentral:rRNA from 1 species
UACGUAGGGUGCAAGCGUUGUUCGGAAUUACUGGGCGUAAAGGGCUCGUAGGCGGCCAACUAAGUCGGAUGUGAAAUCCCCAGGCUUAACCUGGGAACUGCAUCCGAUACUGGAUGGCUUGAAUCCGGGAGAGGGAUGCGGAAUUCCAGGUGUAGCGGUGAAAUGCGUAGAUAUCUGGAGGAACACCGGUGGCGAAGGCGGCAUCCUGGACCGGCAUUGACGCUGAGGAGCGAAAGCCAGGGGAGCAAACGGGG